rnacentral:rRNA from 1 species
UACGAGGGGGGCGAGCGUUGUUCGGAAUUAUUGGGCGUAAAGAGCUUGUAGGCGGUCUGUCGCGUCUGCUGUGAAAAUCCGGGGCUCAACCCCGGACUUGCAGUGGGUACGGGCAGACUAGAGUGUGGUAGGGGAGACUGGAAUUCCUGGUGUAGCGGUGAAAUGCGCAGAUAUCAGGAGGAACACCGAUGGCGAAGGCAGGUCUCUGGGCCACUACUGACGCUGAGAAGCGAAAGCAUGGGGAGCGAACAGG